GUCCUCUGUGGCGCAGUGGGACAGUGCAUCUGGCAGUUAACCAGAAGAUUGGUGGUUCAAGCUCAUCCGGGGACA